AAGUUUCAACAACGGAUCUCUUGGCUCUCGCAUCGAUGAAGAACGCAGCGAAAUGCGAUAAGUAAUGUGAAUUGCAGAAUUCAGUGAAUCAUCGAAUCUUUGAACGCACCUUGCGCUCCUUGGUAUUCCUUGGAGCAUGCCUGUUUGAGCAUCAU
rnacentral:rRNA from 1 species